rnacentral:rRNA from 1 species
GGAAACUGAGGAUAAUACUGGAUAGGCAAUUUUUCCUGUAAUGGUUUUUUGUUUAAAUGUUUUUUCGCCUAAGGAUGGGUCUGCGGCCGAUUAGGUAGUUGGUUAGGUAAUGGCUUACCAAGCCGUUGAUCGGUACGGGUUGUGAGAGCAAGAGCCCGGAGAUGGAACCUGAGACAAGGUUCCAGGCCCUACGGGGUGCAGCAGGCGCGAAACCUCCGCAAUGUGAGAAAUCGCGACGGGGGGAUCCCAAGUGCCAUUCUUAACGGGAUGGCUUUUCAUUAGUGUAAAGAGCUUUUGGAAUAAGAGCUGGGCAAGACCGGUGCCAGCCGCCGCGGUAACACCGGCAGCUCUAGUGGUAACAAUUUUUAUUGGGCCUAAAGCGUCCGUAGCCGGUUUAAUAAGUCUCUGGUGAAAUCCUGUAGCUUAACUGUGGGAAUUGCUGGAGAUACUAUUAGACUUGAGACCGGGAGAGGUUAGAGGUACUCCCAGGGUAGAGGUGAAAUUCUGUAAUCCUGGGAGGACCGCCUGUUGCGAAGGCGUCUAACUGGAACGGUUCUGACGGUGAGGGACGAAAGUUAGGGGCGCGAACCGGAUUAGAUACCCGGGUAGUCCUAACUGUAAACGAUGCGGACUUGGUGUUGGGGUGGCUUUGAGCUGUCCCAGUGCCGAAGGGAAGCUGUUAAGUCCGCCGCCUGGGAAGUACGGUCGCAAGACUGAAACUUAA